rnacentral:rRNA from 1 species
AUUGAACGCUGGCGGCAGGCCUAACACAUGCAAGUCGGACGGUAGCACAGAGAGCUUGCUCUCGGGUGACGAGUGGCGGACGGGUGAGUAAUGUCUGGGGAUCUGCCCGAUAGAGGGGGAUAACCACUGGAAACGGUGGCUAACACCGCAUAACGUCGCAAGACCAAAGAGGGGGACCUUCGGGCCUCUCACUAUCGGAUGAACCCAGAUGGGAUUAGCUAGUAGGCGGGGUAACGGCCCACCUAGGCGACGAUCCCUGGCUGGUCUGAGAGGAUGACCAGCCACACUGGAGCUGAGACACGGUCCAGACUCCUGAGGGAGGCAGCAGUGGGGAAUAUUGCACAAUGGGCGCAAGCCUGAUGCAGCCAUGCCGCGGGUAUGAAGAAGGCCUUCGGGUUGUAAAGUACUUUCAGCGGGGAGGAAGGCGAUGUGGUUAAUAACCGCAUUGAUUGACGUUACCCGCAGAAGAAGCACCGGCUAACUCCGUGCCAGCAGCAGCCGCCG